AAAUUGAAGAGUUUGAUCAUGGCUCAGAUUGAACGCUGGCGGCAGGCCUAACACAUGCAAGUCGAACGGUAACAGGAAGCAGCUUGCUGCUUCGCUGACGAGUGGCGGACGGGUGAGUAAUGUCUGGGAAACUGCCUGAUGGAGGGGGAUAACUACUGGAAACGGUGGCUAAUACCGCAUAACGUCGCAAGACCAAAGAGGGGGACCUUCGGGCCUCUUGCCAUCAGAUGUGCCCAGAUGGGAUUAGCUUGUUGGUGAGGUAACGGCUCACCAAGGCGACGAUCCCUAGCUGGUCUGAGAGGAUGACCAGCCACACUGGAACUGAGACACGGUCCAGACUCCUACGGGAGGCAGCAGUGGGGAAUAUUGCACAAUGGGCGCAAGCCUGAUGCAGCCAUGCCGCGUGUAUGAAGAAGGCCUUCGGGUUGUAAAGUACUUUCAGCAGGGAGGAAGGUGUUGUGGUUAAUAACCGCAGCAAUUGACGUUACCCGCAGAAGAAGCACCGGCUAACUCCGUGCCAGCAGCCGCGGUAAUACGGAGGGUGCAAGCGUUAAUCGGAAUUACUGGGCGUAAAGCGCACGCAGGCGGUCUGUCAAGUCGGAUGUGAAAUCCCCGGGCUCAACCUGGGAACUGCAUUCGAAACUGGCAGGCUUGAGUCUUGUAGAGGGGGGUAGAAUUCCAGGUGUAGCGGUGAAAUGCGUAGAGAUCUGGAGGAAUACCGGUGGCGAAGGCGGCCCCCUGGACAAAGACUGACGCUCAGGUGCGAAAGCGUGGGGAGCAAACAGGAUUAGAUACCCUGGUAGUCCACGCCGUAAACGAUGUCUACUUGGAGGUUGUGCCCUUGAGGCGUGGCUUCCGGAGCUAACGCGUUAAGUAGACCGCCUGGGGAGUACGGCCGCAAGGUUAAAACUCAAAUGAAUUGACGGGGGCCCGCACAAGCGGUGGAGCAUGUGGUUUAAUUCGAUGCAACGCGAAGAACCUUACCUGGUCUUGACAUCCACAGAACUUUCCAGAGAUGGAUUGGUGCCUUCGGGAACUGUGAGACAGGUGCUGCAUGGCUGUCGUCAGCUCGUGUUGUGAAAUGUUGGGUUAAGUCCCGCAACGAGCGCAACCCUUAUCCUUUGUUGCCAGCGAUUAGGUCGGGAACUCAAAGGAGACUGCCAGUGAUAAACUGGAGGAAGGUGGGGAUGACGUCAAGUCAUCAUGGCCCUUACGACCAGGGCUACACACGUGCUACAAUGGCGCAUACAAAGAGAAGCGACCUCGCGAGAGCAAGCGGACCUCAUAAAGUGCGUCGUAGUCCGGAUUGGAGUCUGCAACUCGACUCCAUGAAGUCGGAAUCGCUAGUAAUCGUGGAUCAGAAUGCCACGGUGAAUACGUUCCCGGGCCUUGUACACACCGCCCGUCACACCAUGGGAGUGGGUUGCAAAAGAAGUAGGUAGCUUAACCUUCGGGAGGGCGCUUACCACUUUGUGAUUCAUGACUGGGGUGAAGUCGUAACAAGGUAACCGUAGGGGAACCUGCGGUUGGAUCACCUCCUUACCUUAAAGAAGC
rnacentral:rRNA from 2 species